UAACCCACAUUUUAGUUGAGGAAAUGCUUCAAGCUGGUCAUUUAGAGCCUACGCUCAACUCUUGGAACACACCUAUGUAUGUAAUUAAGAAAAAAUCUGGUAAGUGGAGAUUAUUACAUGACCUUAAUGCUAUUAAUCUGGUCAUAGAGCCCAUGGGAGUGUUACAAUCUGGGCUUCCUUUUCCUACAGCUAUUCCUUUAGAUUAUUAUUUGAUAGUAGUAGAUCUAAAAGAUUGUUUUUUUUCUCUAUAGCUUCGUGCUCAGAUGACUGUAAAAAAAAUUGCUUUUAG
rnacentral:ncRNA from 1 species